GUGAACGCUGGCGGUAGGCCUAACACAUGCAAGUCGAACGGCAGCACCGUAAGAGCUUGCUCUUACGGGUGGCGAGUGGCGGACGGGUGAGGAAUACAUCGGAAUCUACUUUUUCGUGGGGGAUAACGUAGGGAAACUUACGCUAAUACCGCGUACGACCUACGGGUGAAAGCAGGGGAUCUUCGGACCUUGCGCGAUUGAAUGAGCCGAUGUCGGAUUAGCUAGUUGGCGGGGUAAAGGCCCACCAAGGCGACGAUCCGUAGCUGGUCUGAGAGGAUGAUCAGCCACACUGGAACUGAGACACGGUCCAGACUCCUACGGGAGGCAGCAGUGGGGAAUAUUGGACAAUGGGCGCAAGCCUGAUCCAGCCAUACCGCGUGGGUGAAGAAGGCCUUCGGGUUGUAAAGCCCUUUUGUUGGGAAAGAAAAGCAGCAGGUUAAUACCCCGCUGUUCUGACGGUACCCAAAGAAUAAGCACCGGCUAACUUCGUG
rnacentral:rRNA from 1 species